GGGGCAGCAUGGCUCAGGAGGUAGAGUGGGCGGCCUUGGAAUCAGAAGGUUCCCGGUUCGAUCCCCGGCUCCUCCA